rnacentral:rRNA from 1 species
CUACGGGGGGCAGCAGUGGGGAAUAUUGCACAAUGGGCGCAAGCCUGAUGCAGCCAUGCCGCGUGUAUGAAGAAGGCCUUCGGGUUGUAAAGUACUUUCAGCGGGGAGGAAGGGAGUAAAGUUAAUACCUUUGCUCAUUGACGUUACCCGCAGAAGAAGCACCGGCUAACUCCGUGCCAGCAGCCGCGGUAAUACGGAGGGUGCAAGCGUUAAUCGGAAUUACUGGGCGUAAAGCGCACGCAGGCGGUUUGUUAAGUCAGAUGUGAAAUCCCCGGGCUCAACCUGGGAACUGCAUCUGAUACUGGCAAGCUUGAGUCUCGUAGAGGGGGAUAGAAUUCCAGGUGUAGCGGUGAAGUGCGUAGAGAUCUGGAGGAAUACCGGUGGCGAAGGCGGCCCCCUGGACGAAGACUGACGCUCAGGUGCGAAAGCGUGGGGAGCAAACAGGAUUAGAUACCCCGGUAGUC